UUUGCUGGAUCGGUUUCUCGGGGUUUGACCAGCUGUCCCAGGCUAACCCUGCUCUCUGAAGAUGGAGGAAGUAAAAAACAGGAUUACCCUUAGCUACAGAUCCACUGCCUUAGUUUCCAUAACCAACUGCAGUGCACAAACACACAGUCAUUAGGCAUAGCAAAGAAAGAGAGAAAGGAAAAGGCUCAUUAACAAAACAAACAAACAAGGGUGAUGGAAUUGAUUUACUGCAUGCACUGCUGAGAACACGAUCCUGCACGCGAGAUUGUGGAAGAGCAGAAUGGUAUCGUUAGAAAUAAGAAGAGGUGGCAGAUAGAAACACGGCUUUUGAGGAAGACACAGAGAGUGGUAUUUGAUAAGCGCGUCAUCAUUGAGGAUUUUAAGACUAUACCAUACGGGUAUUAAAAAUGGACGCUCGCUGGCAACACCCCUUCUCUGCCAUCCUUGUGGGACCUAGUAACUGUGGUAAAACUUUUUUUCUAAAAAAAAAUUCUGGAGAAUGCACACAGUGUGCUAUCUGUGAUGCCUGAAAAAAAUCGUGUGGUGUUACUCUUGUUGGCAGCCUUUGUACAAACAAAUGCUCUGUAAAUACCCUAUGAUAACUUUUGUAGAAGGUAUGCCUGAGAAAAUUGAUGAUGAUGAGUUGUUACCCCCAAAUAAAAUCUGUUUUCUUGUU